GCUAAUACAUGCGUCCAAACCCGACUUCUGGAGGGUUGUGCUUAUUAGAUACCGAACCAACCCAGGCUUUCCUGGUGACAGUUGAUUCAUGAUAUCCGAGCGGAUCGCACGGCUUGCCCGGCGAUGAGACAUUCAAGUUUCUGACCUAUCAGCUUCCGACGGUAGGGUAUUGGCCUACCGUGGCUUUGACGGGUAACGGGGAAUUAGGGUUCGGUUCCGGAGAGGGAGCCUGAGAAACGGCUACCACAUCUAAGGAAGGCAGCAGGCGCGCAAAUUACACAGUCCUGACACAGGGAGGUAGUGACAAUAAAUACCAAUACGAGGCUUUGACGCUUUGUAAUUGGAAUGAGAAGAACACAAAUCGCUUUCCGAGAAUCAAUUGGAGGGCANGUCUGGUGCCAGCAGCCGCGGUAAUUCCAGCUCCAAUAGCGUAUAUUAAAGUUGUUGCGGUUAAAAACGCCCCGUAGUUGGGUUUCCUGUNCGGGAACAGCUUUGUCCUGCCCAAGUGGCGAAGAAACUUGUUCCGGUUCCCUGGCAAUCCUCCUU
rnacentral:rRNA from 1 species